rnacentral:rRNA from 1 species
AUUGAACGCUGGCGGCAGGCCUAACACAUGCAAGUCGAGCGGAUGAAGGGAGCUUGCUCCUGGAUUCAGCGGCGGACGGGUGAGUAAUGCCUAGGAAUCUGCCUGGUCGUGGGGGAUAACGUCCGGAAACGGGCGCUAAUCCCGCAUCCGUCCUGAGGGAGAAAGUGGGGGAUCUUCGGACCUCACGCUAUCAGAUGAGCCUAGGUCGGAUUAGCUAGUUGGUGGGGUAAAGGCCUACCAAGGCGACGAUCCGUAACUGGUCUGAGAGGCUGAUCAGUCACACUGGAACUGAGACACGGUCCAGACUCCUACGGGAGGCAGCAGUGGGGAAUAUUGGACAAUGGGCGAAAGCCUGAUCCAGCCAUGCCGCGUGUGUGAAGAAGGUCUUCGGAUUGUAAAGCACUUUAAGUUGGGAGGAAGGGCAGUAAGUUAAUACCUUGCUGUUUUGACGUUACCAACAGAAUAAGCACCGGCUAACUUCGUG